rnacentral:rRNA from 1 species
CAGUGGGGGAUAAGCUUCAUUGUCAAAAGGGUAAUAGCCCAGACCCCCAGUUAAGGCCCCAAAAUAACUACUAAGUGAUAAAGGAUGUAUUGGUACAUAGACAACCAGGAGGUUUGCUUAGAAGCAGCCAUUCCUUUAAAAAUAGCGUAAUAGCUUACUGGUCAAGUGCCUUUGCGCCGAUAAUGAACGGGGCUAAGUAGUUUGCCGAAGCUGUGGGUAAAUACGGUAGAAGAGCGUUCUGUUUAGGUUGAAGUAAUAGUGAAAACAGUUAUGGACUUAACAGAAGUGAGAAUGUCGGCUUAAGUAACGAAAACAUUGGUGAGAAUCCAAUGCUCCGAAAACCCAAGGUUUCCUUCGCAAGGUUCGUCCUCGGAGGGUUAGUCAGGUCCUAAGAUCAGGCCGAAAGGCGUAGUCGAUGGAUAACAGGUUAAUAUUCCUGUACUACAUGUAUUUGCGUACGGAUGACGAAGAAGGCUAAACUUACCAGAAUUUGGUAUUUCUGGUCUAAAUUCUUAAGGUGUUGAUAAAAAUUAAAUAAAAAAUUUUUUGAGCUGAAAAAUGAAUGGUAGAGUGUUACGACAUUUGAAAAGUUGAUGUCAUGCUUCCUAGAAAAAUCCUUGUGCGUGCAAAUAUUAUGUACCUGUACCGUAAACUGACACAGGUGGGUAGGUAGAGUAUACUAAGGAGCGCGAGCUAACUCUUUUUAAGGAACUCGGCAAAAUAGUCUUGUAACUUCGGGAGAAAAGAUGCCUUGUCUAAUACACAAGGUCGCAGCGACCAGAUCUAGGCGACUGUUUACCAAAAACACAGGUCUCAGCAAAGUCGAAAGACGAAGUAUUGGGGCUGACGCCUGCCCAGUGCUAGAAGGUUAAAGAAACUGGUUAGCUUUUGCAAAGCUGGUGACUGAAGCCCUAGUGAACGGCAGCAAUAACUAUGAUUGUUCUAUGGUAGCGAAAUUCCUUGUCGGGUAAGUUCCGACCCGCACGAAAGGCGUAACGAUCUAGAAACUGUCUCAAAAAGAGGCUCGGUGAAAUAGAAUUAACUGUGAAGAUGCGGUUAACUUGCACUUGGACAGAAAGACCCUAUGAAGCUUUACUGUAACUUGAUAUUGAUUUUGGACUUUUUUUGCGCAGUAUAGGUGGGAGGCUUUGACGCUUUUUCUCGGGAAAGUUGAGCCAACAGUGAGAUACCACUCUGAAAAAGUUAGAAGUCUAAUGACAUUUCUUUUGAAUCAGAAUGUUUGACAUUGUCAGGCGGGCAGUUUUACUGGGGCGGUAGCCUCCUAAAAGGUAACGGAGGCGUACAAAGGUUUUCUCAGACUGGACGGAAAUUUGUUGCAGAGUAUAAAGGCAAAAGAAAGCUUAACUGUUAGACUUACAAGUCAAGCAGAGACGAAAGUCGGUCUUAGUGAUCCGACGAUACCGAAUGUAAGGGUCGUCGCUUAACGGAUAAAAGUUACUCUAGGGAUAACAGGCUGAUCUCCUCCAAGAGUUCACAUCGACGAGGAGGUUUGGCACCUCGAUGUCGGCUCAUCGCAACCUGGAGCGGUAGUACGUUCCAAGGGUCGGGCUGUUCGCCCGUUAAAGCGGUACGUGAGCUGGGUUCAGAACGUCGAGAGACAGUUCGGUCCAUAUCCGGUGUGAGCGUUAGAAUAUUGAGGUAAGAUUUUUCUAGUACGAGAGGACCGAAAAAUACACACCUCUGGUGUACCAGUUUUCAUACCAAUGAAAAAUGCUGGGUAGUCAUGUGUGGAGUGGAUAACUGCU